rnacentral:rRNA from 1 species
CCUACGGGAGGCAGCAGUGGGGAAUAUUGCACAAUGGGCGGAAGCCUGAUGCAGCAACGCCGCGUGCGGGAUGACGGCCUUCGGGUUGUAAACCGCUUUCGCCUGUGACGAAGCGUGAGUGACGGUAAUGGGUAAAGAAGCACCGGCUAACUACGUGCCAGCAGCCGCGGUGAUACGUAGGGUGCGAGCGUUGUCCGGAUUUAUUGGGCGUAAAGGGCUCGUAGGUGGUUGAUCGCGUCGGAAGUGUAAUCUUGGGGCUUAACCCUGAGCGUGCUUUCGAUACGGGUUGACUUGAGGAAGGUAGGGGAGAAUGGAAUUCCUGGUGGAGCGGUGGAAUGCGCAGAUAUCAGGAGGAACACCAGUGGCGAAGGCGGUUCUCUGGGCCUUUCCUGACGCUGAGGAGCGAAAGCGUGGGGAGCGAACAGGCUUAGAUACCCUGGUAGUCCACGCUGUAAACGGUGGGUACUAGGUGUGGGGUCCAUUCCACGGGUUCCGUGCCGUAGCUAACGCUUUAAGUACCCCGCCUGGGGAGUACGGCCGCAAGGCUAAAACUCAAAGGAAUUGACGGGGCCCCGCACAAGCGGCGGAGCAUGCGGAUUAAUUCGAUGCAACGCGUAGAACCUUACCUGGGUUUGACAUGGAUCGGGAGUGCUCAGAGAUGGGUGUGCCUCUUUUGGGGUCGGUUCACAGGUGGUGCAUGGCUGUCGUCAGCUCGUGUCGUGAGAUGUUGGGUUAAGUCCCGCAACGAGCGCAACCC